rnacentral:rRNA from 1 species
AUAGCGUCGAAGCUAAACUAUCCCCCAAAUAAAAAUCCCCCAAACAAACUAGAACCCUGCCCCAGUACUGAGUAAUUCUAUACUUCUAUAGAAAAUUUAAUGUUAAAACUAGUAACAUGAGGGAAAUCCUCUCCUAAAUGCAAGCGUAAGUCAGAGCGGAUAGAACACUGACAAUUAACAACUUAAGCUAAAGUAACAACACCCAAGAAAACCUUACUUAAACCCCUGUUAACCUGACACAAGAGCAUUUAAAGAAAGACCAAAAGAAAAAGAAGGAACUCGGCAAAACUGAUUCCGCCUGUUUACCAAAAACAUCGCCUCUUGGAAACCUAUUAGAGGUCAAGCCUGCCCAGUGACAUGUUCAACGGCCGCGGUAUCCUAACCGUGCAAAGGUAGCGUAAUCACCUGUCUUCUAAUUAAAGACCUGUAUGAAAGGCAUCACGAGAAUCACACUGUCUCCUUUUUCCGGUCAGUGAAACUAAUCUCCCCGUGAAAAAGCGGGGAUAAUUAUACAAGACGAGAAGACCCUUUGGAGCUUAAGACAAAAUAACAUCUGCAACCCCUAAAUAACCUACACCUCCACCAGCACUUUACUUAUCAGUCUUCGGUUGGGGCAACCACGGAGUAAAAAUUAACCUCCAAGCUGAACGGAAAUAUCCUAAACAAAAAACCACAACUUUAUGUAUCAGCAAACUGACNCUAUUUGACCCAAUAUUUUGAUUAACGAACCAAGCUACCCCAGGGAUAACAGCGCAAUCCACUUCAAGAGCUCAUAUCGACAAGUGGGUUUACGACCUCGAUGUUGGAUCAAGGUACCCUGGUGGUGCAGCCGCUACUAAAGGUUCGUUUGUUCAACGAUUAAAACCUCACGUG